rnacentral:rRNA from 1 species
UACGAAGGGGGCUAGCGUUGCUCGGAAUCACUGGGCGUAAAGCGCACGUAGGCGGAUUGUUAAGUCAGGGGUGAAAUCCUGGAGCUCAACUCCAGAACUGCCUUUGAUACUGGCGAUCUCGAGUCCGGGAGAGGUGAGUGGAACUGCGAGUGUAGAGGUGAAAUUCGUAGAUAUUCGCAAGAACACCAGUGGCGAAGGCGGCCCACUGGCCCGGUACUGACGCUGAGGUGCGAAAGCUAGGGGAGCGAACGGG